CCGGGACUAUUCUGAUACAUAAUUAAAUCACGGGAUUAAUUCAACAAAAACAAGUUUAAUUAGUUCCACUACAAAUCUCCAGGCACCUCACACGCAGAUAAGGAACCUUGGCUUGACCUGGGAGAACAUUUUGCCUGAGUCGAGCUCCGUCAAGGGGGCGAUGGGAUAGCAGGCUGUUUGCUGCUUGUGCUGAUCAACACAUCUACAAAACAAAAGAUGCUGAUGGAAAGUGCAAUGGAAUUAAAGAGUCUGACGGGUGACCUCAGCCGUUACCCGGUUGGGACGCCAGCUGGAUGGAAGGACUGGGGGAGACAGCAUCUGCAGGGCAUGCUGGGACAUUGGUACAGCCCUUUUGGGUUCAGUGGAGGCAGAGCCCUAUAGUGGACUUCCACCAUGCCUGAGAGUGUUUCCAGGUAAUACUGAUGAGCCACCUGGAGCACUCCCAGGAGCUGAAUAAAAGGACCUGCCAAACUCCAUUCGGAAAGGCAGAGUCAGAUCUCUGAGAAGGUGCCCAGUGAGGACACCUGACCCUACUCACAACUCCCAGAGAAGACCCCACCAAUCUAUAAACGGGAUGUGCCCUCAAAGGAGGUGUCUCAUUUGGACCUGAGCCUUGUACAGGACGGGGAUCCUUGUGUAACCAAAGUAAGAGAAGGAGAUUACAACGCACACACCUCUGUUUCAGUGAACAGUCAUAGAAAGAGUCAUAAACACUGAUUGUUCCCAAGAAUAGAGAAAAGAAAAAAAUGGCAAGAAGAACCUCAUUCAAAGAAAAUAUAGCCAAUUAACACAAAAGACUCAAACCUUUCUUACAUACAAAGCCCUUAAACACGCCUCUGUGCAUGCAGUGAAGACCGACAGAUGCAGGAACACAAUGCUCUUGUAAAUUUACAAAACCAGGCAUGAAGCAGAAGCAGACAAUGGCCAACAGUGAAAUGAUUCUCAUCGUUGAAGAACUCCAGGCUCUUGACAACCAGAUCCAGAAACUCCUGUCCAGAUGGAGGUACCUGAGGGAUUUGAAGGCUCGGCUGCUGGAAAAAUCAUCCUCGUCAUCUGAAAUCGACACAACACAUCGAGCUUCAGUAACAUCGAUUCCACGCUGCGCCGCUCACCUCCAAGGCCAGUGAGCUUCACCCCCGCGCUUCGUCGUCGGAGCGACGGCGCCAAUGAUGAAGACAUCGGCUUGUUUCAGCUAUGCUGGCGGGGGUUUAAGGCUAGAACACCUCCAUCAGCACAGGCAAGCAUCUCCACCCAGAACCAGUUCAACACUCUCCAUGCCCCCAGUUUGCCUUCAACCCCAUGUGAUGUAUUUGUGAUUGGUGAUUCAAUCGUAAGAAAUCUAAACAUCGCAUGCCCUAAUCAGAAAUCUUUUGUUUCUUGUUUUCCCGGUGCUCGUGUCCGAGAUGUUUUGAGACGUGUGCCGACAGUCUCCAAGAAGCACAAGAACAGGGCAAUGGGAUCCAUUGUAAUACAUGCCGGGGUAAACGACGUGAGACACCAACAUUCGGAGAUUCUCAAGACGGACUUCGCAGCACAAAUCAAAGCCACGAAGGAGAGGACCCCAUCUGCAAGAAUCUUUAUCUUGGGUCCCCUACCUCUCGAUUGAACGAAUAUUACAGUCAUCUGCUGGGAUUAAACACCUGGCUGAAAGGCUUCUGCAAGAAUCAAAACAUUGGGUUCAUAGACAACUGGGACCUCUUCUGGGAGAGGCCGCAUUUCAUCAAGUGGGAUGGUCUGCAUCCAAAUAGAUUUGGCACCGGGGUCCUCUCCAAAAACAUCGCUAAGGAGGAUUAAAGUCACUUUUUUAUGAAAGUACUGGCAAUCAGAUUCAUUGUUCAUCAAAAACAAUUUCCUGUUGAAUACAGUAUAAGCAGAUGAGCCGCAGGUGGAAGGAGAUAAUAGUUGCACCGACUUACCAUAUUGCAGACCAGAGUAACUGACAUCACACCAGAAGUGGGACAUCUGCAUAGUCACUACCACCUGAUCGAAAUCCUGUGCAGCCACCUGUAACAUUUGAAUGAAGGUGGAUAACCCAACCUGACACAAGACCCAAGGUAUCAAAUCCUCGAAGACGAUGCCUAAAAAACCAAUAAAGAACUACUAAAGAAUAUUUAGGUGUUGUAGAAUCACCAGAAAGGGCUGGGUGGUCUUCUGGCCAGGAUCCCCUAAACAAAAAGAUUUUGUUUUUAAAUUUGUUUUUAUCUCCACCGUGGCCAACUGAGCUUAUCAUUGCACUUAGAGACUAAAAAAUAUAUAUAUAUUUAUAUAUAUUGUGGAGCCGAACCGGACACAGACAGGCGGACAUGUUGUUUUUC